GGAGAGAUGGCUGAGUCCGGUUGAAGGCGCUCGACUCGAAAUCGAGUAGGCGGCCGAAAAGCUGCCUCGUGGGUUCGAAUCCCACUCUCUCCGCCA
rnacentral:tRNA from 2 species